rnacentral:rRNA from 1 species
GACGAACGCUGGCGGCGUGCCUAAUACAUGCAAGUAGAACGCUGAAGGAGGAGCUUGCUCUUCUGGAUGAGUUGCGAACGGGUGAGUAACGCGUAGGUAACCUGCCUGGUAGCGGGGGAUAACUAUUGGAAACGAUAGCUAAUACCGCAUAACAGUAGAUGUUGCAUGACAUUUACUUAAAAGGUGCAAUUGCAUCACUACCAGAUGGACCUGCGUUGUAUUAGCUAGUUGGUGGGGUAACGGCUCACCAAGGCGACGAUACAUAGCCGACCUGCGAGGGGGAUCGGCCACACUGGGACUGAGACACGGCCCAGACUCCUACGGGAGGCAGCAGUAGGGAAUCUUCGGCGAUGGACGGAAGUCUGACCGAGCAACGCCGCGUGAGUGAAGAAGGUUUUCGGAUCGUAAAGCUCGGUUGUAAGAGAAGAACGAGUGUGAGAGUGGAAAGUUCACACUGUGACGGUAUCUUACCAGAAAGGGACGGCUAACUACGUG